rnacentral:rRNA from 1 species
AGAGCGCACGGUGGAUGCCUUGGCACUAAUAGGCGAAGAAGGACGCGACUAACAGCGAAAUGCUACGGGGAGCAGUAAGUACGCAGAGAUCCGUAGAUGUCCGAAUGGGGGAACCCACUAGUUUGAAGAACUAGUAUCAUAUAGUGAAUACAUAGCUAUAUGAGGCAAACCUGGAGAAUUGAAACAUCUUAGUACCCAGAGGAAAAGAAAAUAAAUAAUGAUUCCCUAAGUAGAGGCGAUUGAAAGGGGAAGAGCCCAGCACCAUCAAGAGUUACAAAAUCUUUUUAUAGUAGAAUUGUAUUGGAAAAGCAAGUCAAAGAAGGUGAAAGCCCUGUAUACGAAAUAAAGAGAUCUCGGUGUGAGAGUAGGGCGGAGCACGUGAAAUUCUGUCUGAAUAUGCGAGGACCAUCUCGUAAGGCUAAAUACUCAUUAGUGACCGAUAGUGAACCAGUACUGUGAAGGAAAGGUGAAAAGAACCCCUGGCGGGGAGUGAAAAGAACCUGAAACCGUGUGCUUACAAACAGUUAGAGCCCAUCAAUGGGUGAUAGCGUGCCUUUUGUAGAAUGAGCCGGCGAGUUACGUUAAUUUGCAAGGUUAAGCUUUUAGGAGUGGAGCCGUAGCGAAAGCAAGUCUUAAUAGGGCGAAUAAGUAGAUUGACGUAUACCCGAAACCGGGUGAUCUAGCCAUGAGCAGGUUGAAGCUUGGGUAAAACCAGGUGGAGGACCGAACCAGGGUCUGUUGAAAAAGACUUGGAUGACUUGUGGCUAGGGGUGAAAUUCCAAUCGAACCCGGAGAUAGCUGGUUCUCCCCGAAAUAGCUUUAGGGCUAGCGUUGUGAGAAGAGUUAUACGAAGGUAGAGCACUGAAUGGGUGAGGGCCGCACCUCGCGGUACCAAUCUCAAUCAAACUCCGAAUGUCGUAUAAUAUGCGCAGCAGUAAGACUAUGGGUGAUAAGGUCCAUGGUCAAAAGGGAAACAGCCCAGACCGCCAGUUAAGGUCCCAAAAUUAUGCUAAGUGGGAAAGGAGGUGGAGUCGCUUAAACAACUAGGAGGUUGGCUCAGAAGCAGCCAUCCUUUAAAGAGUGCGUAAUAGCUCACUAGUCGAGUGAUUCUGCGCCGAAAAUGUAUCGGGGCUAAGCAUAAUACCGAAGCUGCGGGAUUAGAUGAAGAAUCUAAUCGGUAGGGGAGCGUACUAAGUGCGUAGAAGGUUGACCGGAAGGGCAGCUGGAGCGCUUAGCAGUGAGUAUGCCGGUGUGAGUAGCGAUAAGAUGGGUGAGAAUCCCAUCCGUCGAAAGCCUAAGGUUUCCAGGGGUAAGGCUCGUCCUCCCUGGGUAAGUCGGGUCCUAAGGUGAGGCUGAGAAGCGUAGCUGAUGGACAUCAGGUUGAUAUUCCUGAACCACCAUAAAACUGAAGGAAUGACGGAGGAGGCUAAUCAGAGCUGAUUAAUGGAUUUCAGUUUAAGUACAAAGAGGGUUACGUAGGCAAAUCCGCGUAGCAAAACCUUGAAGUAUGACGACGUAAGUCUGGUGAAGCCACACUUCCAAGAAAAGUUUCUAGGUGUAUUUUAUGGUGCCCGUACCGUAAACGGACACACGUAGGCGAGGAGAGAAUCCAAAGACGCGCGAGAUAAUUCUUGUUAAGGAACUCUGCAAAAUUACUCUGUAACUUCGGAAUAAAGAGGGCUCCCGUGAGGGAGACGCAGAAAAUAGGCCCAAGCGACUGUUUAACAAAAACAUAGGUUUCUGCUAAAGCGUAAGCUGAUGUAUAGGAGCUGACGCCUGCCCAGUGCUGGAAGGUUAAGAGGAGAAGUUAGUCGCAAGGCGAAGCUUUGAAUUGAAGCCCCAGUAAACGGCGGCCGUAACUAUAACGGUCCUAAGGUAGCGAAAUUCCUUGUCAGGUAAGUUCUGACCCGCACGAAAGGCGUAACGAUUUGGGCGCUGUCUCAACAAGAAACUCGGUGAAAUCAUAGUACCUGUGAAGAUGCAGGUUACCCGCGAUCAGACGGAAAGACCCCAUGGAGCUUCACUGCAACUUAAUAUUGAUAUUGGGUGUGUGAUGUACAGGAUAGGUGGGAGACAAAGAAGCGAGUACGCUAGUAUUCGUGGAGUCAACCUUGGGAUACCACCCCUCGCACAUUUAGUAUCUAACUAGUUUCCAUAAGCUGGGAAUAGAACAGUGUUAGGUGGGCAGUUUGACUGGGGCGGUCGCCUCCCAAAGAGUAACGGAGGCGCCC